GGCUGUCAACGAUAUUUCGAUAAAUUUUAUAAGCUCUGAAAAAUGAUGUUUCACCUUUUUUCCGGCUUACAGCUGCACCAAGUUUCCCCAGGCAAGUGUCGCGUGCAUUAAAAAGCGCCUGGCAUGUCUCCUGGCCCAGGAACUAAGGCUCUUCUCACGUCGCAUGCUAACUCGCUGCAAUCCUGGCAGUUACUCCUGGAUGUUCCUGGAUAGGCAACACCGAGAGCGGACUCCAGUUUGCGGCCUGUCUUUCUGCCCAUUUCUUCACGUAUUUCGGAGUGUUUCCGCUGUUCAUAUGCCUCCACCGACUUUCUUCAUGGCUUAAGCGGUGUGACAUAAAACAAAAACCGACAAACCGACACAGCACUGCCAACGAAGGAGCCUAUUGUGCCCUAAGUGGUCUAAAGCCAGAUCAAGAAAUGACUACAAUGCGACAAGAAAUAGCCUGGCAGGGAACGCUCAAACCCGUGCGCGACGACAUCGUCUUGUGGGAGGCAGUUUUUUUCCUCCUCUGCUAUUUCCCGAACCCCGCGCAGCGCAGAGAAUUCCGAAAGCGUUUAUUUCUCCUAACUCACUGAUGGCUUCAACAUAUAUUUUUUUCCUGUUCAUUCGAGACAUCAAGUGUACCGGAGUGUUGGAUUUGCGGUGGAGGUAGCCAAUUGUGUAACUGACAAUAGAACAAUGCAUGCAGGAUUUUCUCAUGGAACAAUGAGAACUCUGCUUUCUUUAUUUCUGUACCCAUGAGAUUGCACCAAUUUCUUGAUUACCUGUAAUCGAAUGCUUUGCACUUGACUUCCCAGAAGACACUGCAGAUGAAGGAGCAUAUUUCUUAUUUCCCCUUAUUUCUGCAGGAAAUUGCGUUAUAUCACCUGUCGGCUAUUCACAAGGAGGAUAUGGGGUGCUCUGAGAAAGUACAAUAGAAAGUAUUCUUCCUGCCUGCGUCGUGCAUGCUAUUAGGGAUGCUUUUCCCAUCAGUGUGCAGACUUGUAGAAAUGUAUAUAUUGAUGUCUGCAAAUUUUCAUUUCUUGCUUGCUGCAAGUUUUUCUCAUUUCUUUUUCUUUGCAGUCAAAUUAUAAUUAUUAGUUUGUUCCUGGAGGGUUCAGUAGCCUGGGGGCAUAUUUGUAUUUGUAGGUUAUACUCAUGUCUUGUAUAUAUGAGGAGUAAAUCAGACAAUUUUCAUCAGUGUCAUUCAGCUG